rnacentral:rRNA from 1 species
UGCCAGCCGCCGCGGUAAUACGAAGGUCCCAAGCGUUGUUCGGAAUCACUGGGCGUAAAGCGUGUGUAGGCUGCGCGGAAAGUCAAAUGUGAAAGCCCGGGGCUCAACCUCGGAACUGCAUUCGAUACUCCCGUGCUAGAGUAAUGGAGAGGUAGGUGGAAUUCAUAGUGUAGCGGUGGAAUGCGUAGAUAUUAUGAAGAAUACCAGUGGCGAAGGCGGCCUCCUGGAUCUGUACUGACACUGAGGUGCGAAAGCGUGGGUAGCGAACAGGAUUAGAUA